UGGUAUCUCUUCUGUCUGGCUGUGUGUGACAGAGUGGGCCUUGAUGAUGAAGAUCUGUAUCCUGGGGUUGCUGGUGCUGGGGUGCGUGUACGGCGCACCGGUGGAAGAAGGUCUAAAGCCGGAGUCAUGCGACGACCCGCACGCCGUGAAAGCUGCUCAUGUGGCUCUGAGCAAGAUCAACAUGGAGCGGAACGAGGGCUACAUCUUCAGCCUGCACCGCUUGUCUAACGUCCACCACGCCAAGCAUGGAGAGAACGGUGUGGUUUAUUACAUGACUCUGAAUGUUGUGGAGACAAACUGCAGCGUUCUUAGCAGGAAGGACUGGAAGGAGUGUGAGGCUCGUCCAGUCAGCGACCACCAGGUUUAUGGACAAUGCAAAGCAGUCAUCUUCAUCAACAAGGUCCACAGAGUGGAUCGUCUCUACAAAUACGACUGUGCUAUCAAAAAAGCCCCUUCUGCCAGAGUGUCAGCAUUGUGUCCUGACUGCCCAACCUUGAUAAGCUCAGACAACGAGCAGGUCCAAAGGACUUUGACUCUUUCCCUUGACAAGUUCAACAAAGAAAAGGGGCUGAAAAAUCGUUUCGAUGUGCUCAACAUCACACGCGCACUCGCCGGGAUGGCCAUGCAGAUGUAUUAUAUCGUGGAGUACACCAUCCAGGAGACCACCUGCGCCCCCGAUACAGAUGCAGCUGAGAAGUGCCCACUGAUGAAGUGCGAGUUUGCUCACAAGGGUUUCUGCAAGGCUUCCCUCUACAGCCUUCCAGAUCACAAGGAAGACAUUAAUGUGGAUUGUGAGAUCUAUGAGCCUGAGGCCUCCGAGAGGGAAAAGAAAAACCACCUGUUGGGCGGAGAAACCGACCACAGCCACAAUAAGACCGAGAACCAUGACCACUCUACGCUGCCCAACCACGACCACGUCCACGACCACACCAAAAUCCACCACCAUCAGAACAAGAACCACGAGGAAGCCGACUCCAGCGACCACCACCACUCGCACGACCACAAGCCAGGCAGCGCCUACAGGCACAGCCACGACCACUCCCACGAGCACGGAAUCAACCACGACCACGAGCACAUGCACCACGGCUCCGCUCACAACCACACCGGCGACUUCCCCAACCACCACCACGACUACAAACACGCCGAGGGCGUGCACACCCAUGACCACGACCACGAGCUGGCCCUAGACCACGAGCACAAGCACGCUCACCUGCAUGAGCACGAGCAUCACCAUCAUCACCACAGCCACGACCACGAGACCACGCCCCACGACACCCCGGAGGGUAGGGUGACGGUGCUCACUGACGGGCCCAUGAUCCUGCCUUCCUUCCCAGACCAAGCAGCAGCUGGACCCCACCCUGGUGUCGUCCUGCCACCCCCAGAUCCCAGGAGCCCAUCAGCCUAUCAUCCACCCAUUCCCACGUGGAAUUUCCCCCGAAUGUAAAGCUCCGGCAGUCUUAGGCAACUUGAUAGAGCAGCUCUUUGAUGAGGACCCCAGCUUCAAACCCUCUGCAUAAAAGAAUCUUAGAAAUGUCUUUUUAUGGGGGCGGUGGGGGUUAAAAACUCCUUAAAGCCUGGUCAUUUACACUCAUCAUAUUGAUUGACAAUCAUAAACAACCUGACUGCCUGUCAUGGAUAUGUUUGGAACCUGUACAUUCUCCCGUCUCUUAUUUUAAUAAAAGUUUUAAAAAAA